AUCCAUCCAUCUGCACAAAUCUUAAAAUACUUUAUUAUCUAUCAUUCAUUUACAUGCACUGAUUUCAAAGCAUUCUAUCCUUUAUCACUCAUCCAUUUGUAUGGAUUUUAAAGCAUUUCAUUCUUUGUUAUCCAUCAACUCGUACAUAUCUCCAAAUGCUCUGUCUUGUCAUUCAUCCGUUAGCACUGAACUCAAAGGGCUACUAUCCCUCCCCUUCCCUUCAACUCCUGCAAAAUCAAGAAUCCUUUGUUGAGUUAGUGGG
rnacentral:lncRNA from 1 species